ensembl:snoRNA SNORD22 Small nucleolar RNA SNORD22
UUCCUGGGAAGAAAACACGACUAUCUCACUUCAUGCCCUCCCCCCAGAGCCUGAGAGGCGAACACACUGGGCUGGCUGGGGAGAGAGCUCGGCUACAGAAGGAGUGGAGGGGGCAUCAGAUUUCUUUGUGCAAGAAAGGAAA